GGACAGUGGCUCAGUGGUAGAGUAUCUGCUUGACAUGCAUAAUUUCCCAGGUUUAAUCCCUGGCAUCUCCA
rnacentral:tRNA from 1 species